UUUUAGUCUAAUAAUGUUGACAGAUUGUCUAUAUGGGUCUAGCCUGUGUGGACCAGUUUCGUCCAGUUCAGACUGACUUACCUUGAUAUACUCAUGCUGGAUCUGUUCCAGUGUCUCCAGUGUCUUUUUGGAAAGAGAGACAGAAACAGUGAGCACAGACUUAGAACGUCCAACUCUCAGACUCUCCACAACCUCACACUUCCUCCUCCCCCUGUGUCUCUCUUGCCUCCCUUCCCCAUCUCCUCCCUCAUCAGCUCUUUCUCCCCCCUGUCUUACCAGUGAUGGAGGGUUAUUGAAAGCUCUAUGGCUUUGUGCAUGCAACAGAAGGCAGGGCUACUCCCGCGACUGUCCCUUUCCACAGUCACCUUGAACUCUCCCAGCUCUCAGUCCCCCUCUGACACUGUCACGAGAGAGUCAUCAAAACACACUGCUGCACUUCUGCGGAAACUUACACACAGAGCGUGCACACACACACAGAGCGUGCACACACACACACACACACACACACACACUCACACACUCACACACACACACACACUUAAAGCAGCAAUCAAGCAAACAGAUCAUCACAUGACUAGCAGCCUAUAAAUAAAUGGUUAUGUAUAAAUGGUUAGCUAUCUUUUCACAGAGACACACAAACCCUUACUAACGUUCGCUAGAUAGCAAGUAGCAAGCCUACCGGUACAGUAGUGUUACAAUAGCAUUAAAUAGCUGUAACGAUUGUCCUCUUCUUCUGACAUGGAGUAAGAUAUGUCGGACCAAUGCGCAGCGUGGUAAUUGUCCAUUUUAAUAUAUAAAACUGAACACUACAAAAAUAUAAAAUAUCACCGUGAAUGAACAAAUGAAAAUCGAAAUAGUCCCGUGUGGUACAAACACAGACACAGGAAACAAUCACCCACAACUCAAAAGUGAAACCAGGCUACGUAAGUAUGGUUCUCAAUCAGGGACAAUGAUUGACAGCUGCCUCUGAUUGAGAACCAUACCAGGCCAAACACAGAAAUCCCAAAACAUAGAAAAAGGAACAUAGACUACACACCCAACUCACACCCUGACCAUACUAAAACAAAGACAUAACAAAAGAACUAAGGUCAGAACGUGACAAUAGCUUUAAAUGCUAGCUACAUUAUCUAGUUAUGUGCAAAGCCUCUAGGAUAACGCACAGUCAUAUAUGUACACUACCGUUCAAAAGUUUGGGGUCACUUAGAAAUAUCCUUGUUUUUGAAAGAAGAGCAACAUUUUUGUCUAUUAUAAUAACAUUAAAUUGAUCAGAAAUAUAGUGUAGACAUUGUUAAUGUUGUAAAUGACUAUUGUAGCUGGAAAAGCUGGUUUUUAAUGGAAAAUCUAGAGGCCUAUUAUCAGCAACCAUCAUUCCUGUGUUCCAAUGCACGUUGUGUUAGCUAAUCCAAGUUUAUCAUUUUAAAAGGCUAAUUGAUCAUAGAAAACACUUUUGCAAUUAUGUUAGCACAGCUGAAAACUGAUGUACUGGUUAAAUAAGCAAUACAACUGGCCUUCUUUAGACUAGCUGAGUAUCUGGAGCAUCAGCAUUUGUGGGUUUGAUUACAGGAGCAAAAUGGCCAGAAACAAGGAACUUUCUUCUGAAACUAGUCAGUCUAUUCUUGUUCUGAGAAAUGGUUAUUCCAUGCGAGAAACUGCCAAGAAACUGAAGAUCACAUACAACGCUGUGUGCUACUCCCUUCACAGAACAGUGCAAACGGGCUUUAACCAGAAAAGAAAGAGGAGUGGGAGGCCCCAGUGCACAACUGAUUAAGAGGACAAGUACAUUAGAGUGUCUAGAUUGAGAAACAGAUGCCUCACAAGUCCUCAACUGGCAACUUCAUUAAAUAGUACCCGCAAAACACCAGUUUCAAUGUCAACAGAAGGCAAGCAUCCCAGAGUCGCCUCUUCACUGUUGACUUUGAGACUGGUGAUUGAACUCUUUGGCCUGAAUGCUAAGCGUCACAUCUGGAGGCAUCAUCAUGCUGUGGGGGUGUUUUUCAGCGCCAUGGACUGGGAGACUAGUCAGGAUCGAGCCAAAGAUGAACAGAGCAAAGUACAGAGAGAUCCUUGAUGAAAACCUGCUCCAGAGCACUCAGGACCUCAGACUGGGGUGAAGGUUCACCUUUCAACAGGACAACGAUCCUAAGCACACAGCCAAGACAAUGUAGGAGUGGCUUCGGGGGCAAGUCUCUGAAUAUCCUUGAGUGACCCAGCCAGAGCCCAGACUUAAACCUGAUCGAACAUCUCUGGAGAGACCUGAAAAUAGCUGUGCAGGAACUCUCCCCAUUCAACCUGACAGAUCUUGAGAGGAUCUGCAUAGAAGAAUGGGAGAAACUCCCCAAAUACAGGUGUGCAAAGCUUCUAGCAUCAUACCAAAGAAGACUUGAGGCUGUAAUCGCUGCCAAAGGUGCUUCAACAAAGGGUCUGAAUACUUAAGUAAAUUAAAUAUUUUACACAAGUAUUCAAAAUCAAAAAUAAUGAUUUUGCUUUGUCGUUAUGGGUUAUUGUGUGUACAUUGAUGAGGAAAAAACAAACUUAAUUAAAUUUAGAAUAAGGCUGUAACCUAACAAAAUGUGGAAAAUGUCAAGGGGUUCGAAUACUUUCCGAAGGCACUGUAUACACGGAGUACCAGUACCAGAUCAAUGUGCAGCGGUAGAACUUUUGGAGGAUCUGAGGAACCAGGCCAAAUCUUUUCAGCCUCCAGAGUGGGAAGAGGCUCUGCCGUGCCCCUUUCACGACAGUGCGGGUGUGUGUGGACCAUGUUAAGUCCUUAGUGAUGUGGACAACAAGGAACUUGAAGCUCUCGAUCCACUCCACAACAGCCCGUCAAUGUGGAUGGGGACGUGCUCUCCCUUUUUUCUCCUAUAAUCCACGAUCAGCUCCUUGGUCUUGUUGAUGUUGAGGGAGAGGUUGUUGUCACAUUUAUAUUAUUGGCUUUAUUUUUUGCCUCUUGGGUUCCCCAUGGGUCUGGGCCCUGGGGCUUCAGCCCCAGUAAGCCCCUAUAUUUACCCAGCCCUAUGUACUGUGGUAGGAGGUGAGAGUUGAAGCUUGGGAGAGAGAUUGUAGGUGGGAGGUUGAAUUGUGUUGUUUUAUGGGAUGUUAGGUCAAGCGAAACUCUUUGGCCACAGUGAAGGGAUGUGGCUGUGAUGCACAUCCACCUCUAAUUAGGUGUGUUGAUUACAUCACAGCAGGAAGCUGGAGACCAACCAGCAGGAUGUGGGGUAUUGUUUCGCAACUAGGAAUAGGUACAGAUGGAAGGGGGUUGGGAUGGAGGUGUGUGUGCUUUUGUGUGUGUUCAUGUGAGUGCACGUUUGUAUCGGGGGAAGUGUUUACUCACAACUUUCCUGAAACCCACAACUUGUAGUCUCCAAACAAGUCUCAAUCAGACAUUGAAACGCUGGCAUUGACUUUUAGCUUUGAAUGCUUAUCAGCUCUAACAAUGACAUUUUGUUACGAAAUCCCAAAACUGAUGUUUACUGUAAACCACAUUUCUUUGAGCACUGGUGAUAGUUGUCCUGGCGCUGCCUUGAACAUUUUAGAUGGUCUUGAGGAGAAUGCUGAAGUACUGCCAGACAGUGCAGGAUUUGUUUUUUCAUCAGACCUUGAUAAAUGGGAGUGCAUUUUUUUAUUUUUUUUAUCUGGACUGUGUCAGCACCUGAAUACAACACUGUACAAUUGGACUGCAUCUCGUUAUGGGGUGAAAAGUUGAAUCUUGAAGUGUUAUGUCUACAACUAUUCAAACCACACCUACAACGUCUUUAUUAAAGGCCGAUAAUGUACCUGAUUUCAAUUGAGCAGGUAUACAAUUGGUUUUGAACUCUAUUUCAUAGGUACAAGGUGAAAGAGUGGUUAAUACAGCGGAUGAAAAGGUACAGAAUACACUGCAGUUGUACAUCUCUGAAUGUUCUGAACAUUACCUCUCUCCUUUUUAAAACCCCAAAUAGCCUUGCAACUGUAUGACCUACAAAAUGUUUUUGUGUAUUUUUCUGCUUGCUACUAUCUGAAAGAGCAUGUCGUCCUGAUAAUGACUGGACUGGAGCAGAGGUGAGCUGAGGUGGGUCUGGGCCUGUGAGGCUAAUGUUCUGUGUCUGUAUUACAGGUGGAGCACUGGGGCCAUAUCUGCAGCACCAGGCCUAGCUCUGAUCCACUGUGACAGUCUCCCUUUAGUUUCCAUUGCAAAUGGAGUGCUUUGGCGUGGGCCCUUAGAUCCUCAAAAAGUUAUACAGCUGCACCAUUGAGAGCAUCUUGACUGGCUGCAUCUCCUCUUGAUAUGGCAACUGCUUGGCAUCCGACCAGAAGGAACUACAAAGCAAGCGAUACGAUGCACCAAGUCUGGAACCAACAGGACCAUGAAUGGCAUCCAUUCUCAAGCCAUAGACUGCUAAAUAGUUAACCAAAUACCUACCCAGAUCAUCUGCAUUGACCCCCUUGUGCACUAAAACUUUGAAUAAUCACAUUAGCUGCUGCCACCGCCUAUUAUCAAUCCUGGUGCCUCAUCUUUAUCCCUACCUACAGUAUACAGUACUUACAUAUUUACCUCAAUUACCUCGUACGCAUGCACAUUGACUCUGUGCAGGUACAGAGCCAAAUAAUCGUUACUCACUGUGUUUUUAUUUCUUGUGUUAUUAGUUUUCUAUUUUGUAUUUUAUUUUGUAUCUGCAUUGUUGAGAAGGGCCCGUAAGUAAGCAUUUCACUGUUUGUGUCCACUUGUUGUUUACAAAGCAUGUGAAAAAUAACAUUUGAUUUGCCCUGUUUUUAUUUUGCUCCCGAACAUAAAAUUACACAAUUGUCAUACAUCUGCCCCAGCGCAUUCACAGCAGAGCUGCGCUUUGUCGAAUAGCAAUCAGCCACGCUUUGCCCCGUGACCCUAAGUGGCUGUGAUAGCUUUGUCUCCUCCAUCCUCUUAUCUCCACGCUUCUAAUGGUUAAACAGUUUUACACCCAGCCCUGCAACAGCACAGCUGAACAGAGCAUUAUGUUAUAUCACUAGGCUAGCUCCCUACAGCAAAUGUGUUCCGAGGGGCUAAACGGAAAAGAGAGAGAGUGUGGUGAAUGUAUAAUGUAACUCGUGUUAUCAUUGCUAUCUCUGCACAUUGAGACAUUAUUUAAAUAUGGCUAAUUUGCCAGUUUGAAUAGAAUAGCAAUCUGUACAGUUUCCAUCUCUUUAUUAUCUGCUCAGCAUUGCAUGAGUGAAGUUCAGGGAGUGAAGAAGAAGACAUACCAGACAGAAUGGUCAAAGUAAAUCAAGUAAACAACACAUCAAGCUAUGAAAGGUGAAUAGACAUGUUUUGUUUGUCCCUAAACCUUCCAGCAAUGCUUACAUUGCAGAUUAUGUUUAUAGACACGCACACACACACACACACACACACACACACACAGCAUCUCAUCACAGAUGAUCAUGUCAGCAGACACCUUGUUUCCUGCUUAAAAUGGAUCACUUUGUAAUGGUAGUUGUGAACUUUACCCCAAAGUCAACAUAUAGGCUGACAUACCAUUCAUGCUGUUCUACAUGUGAUAUCAAAUGAUAAUAACAGUUGAUGAUGGUGAUGGAUACAUUACUCUUAUUUUUAUUAAUAAAC
ensembl:lncRNA